CCCUACGGGAGGCAGCAGUAGGGAAUCUUCCGCAAUGGACGAAAGUCUGACGGAGCAACGCCGCGUGAGUGAUGAAGGUUUUCGGAUCGUAAAGCUCUGUUGUUAGGGAAGAACAAGUACCGUUCGAAUAGGGCGGUACCUUGACGGUACCUAACCAGAAAGCCACGGCUAACUACGUGCCAGCAGCCGCGGUAAUACGUAGGUGGCAAGCGUUGUCCGGAAUUAUUGGGCGUAAAGGGCUCGCAGGCGGUUCCUUAAGUCUGAUGUGAAAGCCCCCGGCUCAACCGGGGAGGGUCAUUGGAAACUGGGGAACUUGAGUGCAGAAGAGGAGAGUGGAAUUCCACGUGUAGCGGUGAAAUGCGUAGAGAUGUGGAGGAACACCAGUGGCGAAGGCGACUCUCUGGUCUGUAACUGACGCUGAGGAGCGAAAGCGUGGGGAGCGAACAGGAUUAGAUACCCUGGUAGUC
rnacentral:rRNA from 1 species